UAACCCAGCACACAACUUAGCCUCUUAUUAAAAUUAUAGGAAGCUAAGUUGUGUGCCAGGAGCCAGCCGCCUAAGGUGGGACAGAUGAUUGGGGUG
rnacentral:rRNA from 1 species